CCUACGGGUGGCAGCAGUGGGGAAUAUUGGACAAUGGGCGCAAGCCUGAUCCAGCCAUGCCGCGUGAGUGAUGAAGGCCUUAGGGUUGUAAAGCUCUUUCAGUGGGGAAGAUAAUGACGGUACCCACAGAAGAAGCCCCGGCUAACUUCGUGCCAGCAGCCGCGGUAAUACGAAGGGGGCUAGCGUUGUUCGGAUUUACUGGGCGUAAAGCGCACGUAGGCGGAUCGUUAAGUCGGGGGUGAAAUCCUGGAGCUCAACUCCAGAACUGCCUUCGAUACUGGCGAUCUUGAGUCCGGAAGAGGUGAGUGGAACUCCUAGUGUAGAGGUGGAAUUCGUAGAUAUUAGGAAGAACACCAGUGGCGAAGGCGGCUCACUGGUCCGGUACUGACGCUGAGGUGCGAAAGCGUGGGGAGCAAACAGGAUUAGAUACCCUAGUAGUC
rnacentral:rRNA from 1 species